CAACAUAUACAUAUAUAUUUAUAUGUAAUAUCGAUCUAUCUACAUUAUAAUCUACGUUAAGCAACGUUGUUGUGCAUGAAUGGCUGCGAACUUGAGAUUCGAAGAUACGCCCGUUGGAGAGACUUCGAACCAUAGAUUUCAAGCCACGAGAGAGCGACAGUAUCGCAACAACACUGGAAGGUCGACAACAGAAGCAAGCAUCCCGCUGUGGAUCCCAAAUAAUAGACCAAAACAUCCAACGUCGCUCUACCCAAGCAGAAGCCGAGCGAGCGAGGCCAGAGAGGCUGCAUGCCAUGGCGAACAGCAACGGAAGCUCAAGGAGGCAGAACCCGUCUCCUGCGGUCGUCUCCGCAGGUUGCUUGAGGUUCAAGUCGUACCUCUCCUUGUGCCGACCUCCCUCCCACCGCCAGCCACCGUCGCUUCCUACGGCCCCUCCGCCGCAGCCCACGUGCGAACCCUCUGCGGCACCGGCAAUGCCGUCCCUUUUCAGGGAUGGGGAAGCGGCGGCUGAAGCGUACUGGAGAAGAGCGAGGCAGCUAGAGCAGGAGCUCCGGAAGCUCGACGCGUGGGUGAGCACGGAGAAGAGGCAGACGGAGUGCCCGAAGAACACUGCCGUGAUGACGGCGGAGAACGGUCACACGGAGAUGACGAGGUUAUCGGAUGGCAGCUAUCUCCAUGAGAUCAGGAAACCGGGCAGGCCGUGGGGGAGGUUGGUCAUGCAAGUUUCGGCGCCAUUGAUCGCCGAGAACGCUACAGCCGCAGCGGAGGUGAUCUGAGAACGAAAUAGCCGGUAAUUCUCACUGAUGUAUGCUAACGAUGGGUUGAAACCUUACCAGGUGAUACGUGGGAUGGCGUCCUUGAGACGAGGGGAGCUGUGGGAGUGCCUGCAUGAGUCGAUGCCGAUGAGCAACCUGAGCGGACGCCAAACGGGAGAGAUCAAAGGGAAGAGGGUGGUGACGGGGGCGGAGGAGCAUUUCGUGGAGGCUGUGCUGCUGGGUUCGGUGGAGAAGAUGGAAGGGCUGGCGUUGGAAGGGCUUCGCAUCCAGAUGGGGGGAGGAGGAAGGGCCGCCGCCGAGGUUGCAGAGAAGAAGGCGGAGGCGGGGAGCAAGGAGCGCAUGGUUCUGGUGAUGCUGGUGCAGGUGAGGGAUCCGAGGGAGAACUACGAGGCGGUCGGCGAGGCCAUGAUCGGGCUAAUCGAGGCGUCGGCGGCUGGGGAGGGGUGCAGCAGCAGAUUGGAUGUGCAAGGGCUGCAUGUUGCGGGGAUGAAGUCGGUGCAGGGGAGGAGCGAGGGGAGGGACCUCAUCUGGAGCACUUCUCUCAGAGGUUGCAAGGGCUGCUGC
rnacentral:lncRNA from 1 species